rnacentral:rRNA from 1 species
AUCCACAGCCAUAUCCUGCAGGCCAUGAGCGGUUACCCACUGAAGCUAAGCAGGGCUAAGCCUGGUCAGUACCUGGAUGGAAAACCACAUGAGAAAACUAGGUUGCUGUUGCAA